ensembl:snRNA U4 U4 spliceosomal RNA
AGCUUUGUGCAGUGGGAGUACCGUAGCCAAUGAAGUUUAACCGAGGCACAGUUAUUGCUAAUUGAAAACUUUUCCCAAUACCCCACCAUGACGACUUGAAAUAUAGUUGGCGUUGGCAAUUUUUGGCAGUCUCUAUGGUGA